GAUGAAAAAAUUUCAUUGGAUGAGUAGAUAAUUCGUGGCCAAAAGUAUCGCAAUUUGUAUUUCCGUGCAUCAACAACGCGAAUCCAUCAUCUGGAGUCAUCGAGCUCGUUGUGCACACUUACGCAGGCAGUACUCUCCUUCCAUAUUGUCUCUCGCGUUUGAAAAAGUAAGGUAAAUCAUACAUAGAUAGCUUACGCAACUACACCCGAGAGAAGAUGGGCUACUAGGGAGAACUUCACUGGCUGAGGAAACCUACUUACCUACCACUUAGAGAGUAAGUUGAGAUCGGUAAGAGUCAUAUAUGAUAGCCGCAGAGAGUCAGAAACAACAGCCACAUGGUAAAUGAAGUGCGUAUGGGCAAUCCGUUGCAAUCCACUUACUCUCCAUCGCUCUUUCUUGUAUAUACUCUUCGGCCGCCAGUCUGGGGAACUUGAAGUCAAGGAUUGACCUGACGGUCUGAUUCGCCACUUACCACAUGUAACAUCGAUGUUUGUUCAUCUUGCCUUCACCUUUCGGCGAAUCCUUCCCUUUUCCCCCUCAGAUACUGAUGUCCACCAUGAGCACGCGCCGAUAGGCUGGUACGUUUAACGUAUCGACGUACCAAUGGAUCAACGUAUCAGCACAGUGAAGCGAGCGGCUUGCCGCUUGGCCGAAGUCGUCACACAACCCGUUGAUGAGGCUGGCUGAGUUAGCUGAAGCGACGGCCUUUUCAAUGAUAGAGCGUUGUCAAUCAAUCGAGACCACUAUGAAGAAGUAAUCUAUGUUUUUCUUCAAAGAGGUCGAACAAUCGUCCAGUCAAGCUUAAAGUUUCUCACAUAGAGGCGUGAGGUGUAGAUCGUGCUCUGGGUCGCCAACCCUUAGCAAAAUGGACACUCAUUCCCAGACUAACUGAACUGAACGACUUUUAAAGGACAAGAAAUAGAAUCUUCUCAUCAUCAGUAUGUCCCAUGGAGUGUUGCUCUUUACUUCCUCGUGUUCCACGAGAUAUGGAGGCCUAAAGGACCAAAAGCCGACGCUCAAUUUCGGUCUCAGCCGGCUUAGUCGGUAUUAGACAGUCCAGGUGAAAUGUACGGUAGGUAUUUCGCACAUCAGCCCCUCUGUGGACUUGAACAGCGAACAAAACUGUACCAUACGCUCCAUAGCCCUUCUGCCUGAUCAUGAACGAUCCAGCUGCCGCCCAAAUCUCGCUCAUGGAUGCCGCGCACUGUCACGAGGACAACCUCAGUCGGGGAAAAGAUGAAUGAAGGAGGGUAGAAGUGGUGACGGAUAUUCCGAAAGAUUGCAUGUGCGGCUCUAGGCCCUCUUAAGCCACCCGGUGGCUACCUGACGUGCCCUCCUCUUGGGCCCAUGGAACGCCUCUCGAACCAGUUGCCCAGGACACCACCAAAAAACACAAACUUCCCAGAGGGUGGCAGCAUUAGCGAACGUUGGCAACCGAAGUCGUUCAUAAUAGGUUGGAGGGUUUUGUGGGCUUAUAAGGCGGCGUGCCACACCACCAAGCCGAAGCUGUCAAAGCUGGUUACCCAUCAAAACCAUUGGUGUCGAGGGUAUCAUCCACUCAGCCGGCGAUUCUGGAAUGGGAAGCGGUCAGGCCUGGUAUUUGGGACUACCAACACAACAUCGAGGAUGAGUAAAACAAUUGCCCAUCAAAUUUCGGAGAGGGCUUCCGAGCCACUUAUGGAGGAAUGGCUCCAUUUGGUUUAUCGUUAUUGUCCUGCAAUGACGGCAGCCUUUUCGACAAAUCUGACAGGUUCUAAGCAAUCAGCGAUAUGCUGCAGCUCAAGUUCGGACGAUCCGUGAGACGUAAUAUGGUGUUGUGGGUAAGUUCACACCCAUAGUCAGGUCGUUGAAGACACAGUGCCCACGAAGCUUUGGCUGUGGUAGUCCGUGCAAGGUUUCUGAAAAUUGGAGGUCUUACUUUUGCUCGCAACCCAGUACAUUAGCUCGAAGAGCGAGGUCGUCGUGGUGUUAUCAUGGCCGAUCUCAUUGAACUAGGGCUGCACCGCCAAGACACCAUCUGGUGUGAACCGCGGGAGGCCUUGGAAGGGAAUGUACCAUACAGUGUAGACGCGUCGUGGAGGUUAAGUGAUCUUCUCGUCCAUGGUCUCACCUGCUGCAUUCACAAGUCCUUUUCAACCCCAAAUUCCUGCAAGGGAGAGAGAUAAUAUAUUAACAGCUCGCUUGCCCCUUCACGAUUUCAUUUCUUGUUCCUGCUCCCAAUUGCUUUACCAUACUCGAGAACAUGCCGGGCGACAACAAGGACGAUUUGGAGAGAGGUGGAAGGGAGGCACAGUCGAAAACAAAACCAACACGCUCGCCACUUAGCUUGCUCGAGGGCUCGGUCGAAUCACUGACGCGCUGUUUGAGUCGGUCAUCUAAAGAACCCAAACCCGUAGCAGAGACACCAGGCAAAAAAUAUGUCCAUACGCCGACCCACGCAGCCGCUUCGCAUCUCAAGACAACCAGGACGAGAAACAUGGACCAGGCAAACGAAGUCCUUUGACCAUAUCAAUGGGCAAGACGCGAAAAACCUUGGGCAUCUUUUGUGGAGCACGAUGUUGACGAGGCAGGCUACACCCUCAAAGCACGAGACACCGCCUCGGGUUUGGGUCCACACAACAAGCCUGGUCCAGAAUGCUUUUCUGCGCAGAAACUGGGCGAGCGCCGAGUGAGUCCGCCCAGGCCGAGUUACAGGAGGCGAGAGACUUCAAGCGACCUGGUCCAAGAUAUGACGGUAAAUGGCAGACGGCGAGUUUUCAGAUUCGUGAUUGGUGGAAAGAUGUGAUCGGGGAGUAUCGGACCCGCUGUAGGGGGAGCAUGGUUCGAUUGGAAGCGGAAAUACGACUGAAGCAGGUGAUGGUGAUGUUAUCCCAACUCUUGGACCCCAAGGCAAUAGAAGACUCGA